rnacentral:rRNA from 1 species
AUUCUGGCUCAGGAUGAACGCUAGCGACAGGCUAACACAUGCAAGUCGAGGGCAUCACGGGAGUAGCAAUACAACUGGUGGCGACCGGCGCACGGGUGAGUAACGCGUAUGCAACCUACCUAUCGAGAGGGGAAUAACCCGGCGAAAGUCGGACUAAUACCGCAUAAAACAGGGCACCGCAUGGUGAUAUUGUUAAGAAAUUCGCUGAUAGAUGGGCAUGCGUUCCAUUAGGUAGUUGGUGAGGUAACGGUUCACCAAGCCGACGAUGGAUAGGGGAACUGAGAGGUUGGUCCCCCACACUGGUACUGAGACACGGACCAGACUCCUACGGGAGGCAGCAGUGAGGAAUAUUGGUCAAUGGGCGGGAGCCUGAACCAGCCAAGUCGCGUGAAGGAAGAAGGAUCUAUGGUUCGUAAACUUCUUUUGCAGGGGAAUAAAGUGCAGGACGUGUCCUGUUUUGUAUGUACCCUGAGAAUAAGGAUCGGCUAACUCCGUGCCAGCCGCUGC